UAAAACUUGAUAUUGUUUGUGUCUUUGGAUGUGUAAGUGCUGUCAUAUAAACACAGUGUAUGUUUGUCACAUAAUCACUGGUCCUUGCAUAUGUCUACACCUGUCCCGCACCUGUGUAAUGUGUAGUGCAUGUGUAUGUACAUGUCAAGUCUUCUGUUUGUCUUGUCAACAAGUUCAUAGUUCAUCACAUGUUGCUGGCAUCCAUAUGGUAUCAUUUAUGCCCCUGUCAGGUCUGUUUGAGUGUGUCACAUUAUUUAUUUUGAAUUGUUUUAGUGUGUUGGUUGUAUGUUUUUGUUGCAUGCUUUCUUGUGGUGUUGGCUUAUCGCCAAAUACUUUAAGAAAAUGUAGGUUUAUUAAUGUCAUGAUAUGUUUUUUCUUAUUGCACUUCUCAUGUGUUGGUCUGUUGGAACUUCCACUGGUGCACUGCUGCAUCCAAUGUUACUGGACAUGAAUAAUCUAAAUGAUACCAUAUAGAUUGCAGGUUCAAGUAUUUGUUUGAUGUUGAGUGUGAAGCCUGUGGUCUGUCUGUCUAUGUAGUCAUUGGUUGUUACAAGACAUCUCUUUGUGUUUCCCUAGUUUGAGAUCAGUUUCAAUCAACGUUUUAAGUAUGAUUACUGGCGGUUAUUUGUCUUGAUAAAUCUGUGGUGUAGCCUAAUAUUUCUCUGCGAGUAAGUUGAGGGAUGUAUGUUGAGGUCGGCCUUGCCAGUCUUGUUUUAUUGAUACCGUUGUGACCCCUAGUAGAUGGUGAAGGAGCUGGGAAUCCCAAUGGCAAUGGGCAGGGAGCUAAACCAGCCAAACCUGGUAAACGUCAGUUACUAGUAAUAUCAAGUAAAAUAUACAGUACCAUUACACCCAUAGAUAAAUACAAGUAUAACUAAUGUAGAAAUAGUUUGCUACCCCAGCACCGCAAUUUUAUUGUGCUAUUAGUAUAAUUAAAGUUAGGUUUUGUCAUUUUAUUCAUUUGUUAACUUGAAUACAUGGCAUUCUAUUUAUAUUGCAUUUUUCUGACAUGGAUAUUCUAGACUUUGGACCAUCAGGAGUGCCAAAUGGACAAUGGAUUGUUCACGUUGAGAACCUACGAUGUGUCCCACUUGGUUGACCUGUGCUGGUGGAGGAAUUGUUCAUUUAUAGUGCUAAACCUAACUUGAACACAAUAAUAAUAAUAAACGACAUGUAUAGGAGUUA